CUGUGGCCUGACCCAUCUUUGGGCCGCCGAGAGCGCUUAGCCACACCCCCAACCACCUGAGCCUCCAGUGCCGGGGUCGGAAAGCUCCGGGUUCCAUUGCUCGGCCGCGGCAAUGUGGCUUCAUGCCUCAACAACUGUAGCUUGUGACUUCCGUCUUUCCGUUCUUUUAAAUUUUAUGUGUUAUGGGCGUUAGUUACCGGCUUGCAUGGUUGUGCACCACGUGUGAGCAGUGCCUGAGGAGGCUGAAAGAAGGUGUUCAAUUUACUAGAACUGGAGUGAUGCAAUGAAUGGUCUUGUGGGCCACAGACUGGUAUCUAGCUCAUCUUGAACACUGCCACCAUCGUGACCACAGGAGCCCUCCCUAUUUCUGCAUUCAUUUUUUCAUUGUUUUGAAUGUCAACGUGUUCAUUAAACAAUUGAAGCCUCAU
ensembl:antisense Gm12089 predicted gene 12089